GCCUCUUGCAAUCCAUAAGAGGUCCAGCCUGCCCAGUGAUAAAAUUCAACGGCCGCGGUAUCCUAACCGUGCGAAGGUAGCGUAAUCACUUGUUCUUUAAAUGAGGACUAGUAUGAAUGGCACCACGAAGGUUAUACUGUCUCCUCUUUCUAAUCAAUGAAACUGAUCCCCCCGUGAAGAAGCGGGGAUAAAAUUAUAAGACGAGAAGACCCUAUGGAGCUUUAAACUAAUGCAACACUAGCAUUAAUACCACUAUAUUCCAGAAUUAUAAAAACCAUUUCAGCUAGCAUGAUUGCUAGUUUUAGGUUGGGGUGACCAUGGAGCAUAAAAUAACCUCCACGCAGAACGGGACCAUUCCUGAGCCAAAAGCUACGACUUUAAGCACUAAUAAAUUAACAUUAAUUGACCCAAUAUAUUGAUCAACGAACCAAGUUACCCUAGGGAUAACAGCGCAAUCCAUUUUAAGAGCCCCUAUCGACAAAUGGGUUUACGACCUCGAUGUUGGAUCAGGGUAUCCCAGUGGUGCAGCCGCUACUAAAGGUUUGUUUGUUCAACAAUUAAAACCCUA
rnacentral:rRNA from 1 species